rnacentral:lncRNA from 1 species
AAUGGAGGCAGAUGAAAUAUAAGAGGUGUAAUUUCUCAAGUCCUUUUUGCAGGGCAAUAAUGUCCGGGGUUGUUCAAGGUCACGCUUGGCUGGGCCAGGUUGCCUUGGCGCUGUUGUGGGUGAAUCCGAUGUUCGUACGAGCCGUCUUUGAGUGCUGUAAGAUGUGUUUCCCCGCAUCUGAUGGCUUGGUGGUGGGAUUCUCAUUUAAUAGGGUCUCUUUAUUUUGGCACUUGAGGAUCUCCAGUGUCUCGGUGUUGAAGCGCUGUGACAGGUUACUUACCCGUUUUAUUACUUUUGCGUCCUCCCAGUGAAUGGUUAAGUCUGAUUCGUACACACUGAUGGCGAGGGCUAUUGUCAAUUUCGCU